rnacentral:rRNA from 1 species
GAUGAACGCAAGCUACAGGCUUAACACAUGCAAGUCGAGGGGUAGCACGGAGGAAGCUUGCUUCCUUGGGUGACGACCGGCGCACGGGUGAGUAACGCGUAUCCUACCUACCCAUAACUCGGGCACAGCCGCUCGAAAGAGUGAUUGAUUCCCGAUAUGUCAUUAGAGUAGAUCUAAUGAUGAAAGAUUUAUCGGUUAUGGAUGGGGAUGCGUAAGAUUAGGUAGUAGGCGGGGUAACGGCCCACCUAGCCGACGAUUUUUAGGGGUUCUGAGGGGAAGGUCCCCCACACUGGUACUGAGACACGGACCAGACUCCUACGGGAGGCAGCAGUGAGGAAUAUUGGUCAAUGGGCGGAAGCCUGAACCAGCCAAGUAGCGUGAAGGAUUACAGCCCUACGGGUUUUAAACUUCUUUUAUAUAAGAGUAAUGUGCACUACGUGUAGUGAAUUGCAAGUAUUAUAUGAAUAAGCAUCGGCUAACUCCGUGCCAGCCGCCGCCGUAAGAC